rnacentral:rRNA from 1 species
GCGGAGGGAUCAUUACCGAGUUUACAACUCCCAAACCCCUGUGAACAUACCUUAAUGUUGCCUCGGCGGAUCAGCCCGCGCCCCGUAAAACGGGACGGCCCGCCAGAGGACCCAAACUCUAAUGUUUCUUAUUGUAACUUCUGAGUAAAACAAACAAAUAAAUCAAAACUUUCAACAACGGAUCUCUUGGUUCUGGCAUCGAUGAAGAACGCAGCAAAAUGCGAUAAGUAAUGUGAAUUGCAGAAUUCAGUGAAUCAUCGAAUCUUUGAACGCACAUUGCGCCCGCUGGUAUUCCGGCGGGCAUGCCUGUUCGAGCGUCAUUUCAACCCUCAAGCCCCCGGGUUUGGUGUUGGGGAUCGGCUCUGCCUUCUGGCGGUGCCGCCCCCGAAAUACAUUGGCGGUCUCGCUGCAGCCUCCAUUGCGUAGUAGCUAACACCUCGCAACUGGAACGCGGCGCGGCCAUGCCGUAAAACCCCAACUUCUGAAUGUUGACCUCGGAUCAGGUAGGAAUACCCGCUGAACUUAAGCAUAUCAAUAAGCGGAGGA